GCACCUCUCCUGAAAAGUCAUCCACCUCCCUUGGGAAAGUUUCAAUGAAAGAUCAAAGUGAAAAUUUCACAUUUUGUGGUUGCUCAGGGUCUAUACUUCGUAAGAAGGUUUUUCUGUAAAAUUGAAACAGUGAUAGCCACUCAUCUCUGUGUCAAGUACCCUUUUAAUGCAAUGUUUCGAAAGAAGCUUUGUAGUAAUUGUAAUGAAGGGCAAAAUUGGAUGAGUUGUACAGUCAUGAUUCAUUAAUACACUGA
rnacentral:lncRNA from 1 species